CAAUCAAACCGGGAGAUAGCUGGUUCUCCCCGAAAGCUAUUUAGGUAGCGCCUCGUGAAUUCAUCUCCGGGGGUAGAGCACUGUUUCGGCUAGGGGGCCAUCCCGGCUUACCAACCCGAUGCAAACUGCGAAUACCGGAGAAUGUUAUCACGGGAGACACACGGCGGGUGCUAACGUCCGUCGUGAAGAGGGAAACAACCCAGACCGCCAGCUAAGGUCCCAAAGUCAUGGUUAAGUGGGAAACGAUGUGGGAAGGCCCAGACAGCCAGGAUGUUGGCUUAGAAGCAGCCAUCAUUUAAAGAAAGCGUAAUAGCUCACUGGUCGAGUCGGCCUGCGCGGAAGAUGUAACGGGGCUAAACCAUGCACCGAAGCUGCGGCAGCGAACGUAUCACCCAAGACAACUUUACGGAGUUGACGAUUGACGGAGCGAAGCGACGUCAAAGCGUUCAUUAAAGUCGAGUUGGCUUAGGGAUACGUUCGUUGGGUAGGGGAGCGUUCUGUAAGCCUGUGAAGGUGUGUCGUGAGGCAUGCUGGAGGU
rnacentral:rRNA from 1 species